rnacentral:rRNA from 1 species
GAGUUUGAUCAUGGCUCAGAUUGAACGCUGGCGGCAUGCCUAACACAUGCAAGUCGAGCGGCAGCGCGGGGCGAACCCUCGGCGGCGAGCGGCGAACGGGUGGAGUAAUGCAUCGGAACGUGUCCUCUUGUGGGGAGUAACCAGUCGAAAGAUUGGCUAAUACCGCAUGAGCUCGAGAGAGGAAAGCAGGGGACCGGCAAGGCCUUGCGCGAGAGGAGCGGCCGAUGCCGGAUUAGCUAGUUGGUGGGGUAAGUGGCCCGACCAAGGCGACGAUCCGUAGCUGGUCUGAGAGGAUGAUCAGCCACACUGGGACUGAGACACGGCCCAGACUCCUACGGGAGGCAGCAGUGGGGAAUAUUGGACAAUGGGCGCAAGCCUGAUCCAGCCAUGCCGCGUGGAUGAU